UACGGAAGGCAGCAGUGGGGAAUAUUGCACAAUGGGCGCAAGCCUGAUGCAGCCAUGCCGCGUGUAUGAAGAAGGCCUUCGGGUUGUAAAGUACUUUCAGUCGUGAGGAAGGUGUUAAGGUUAAUAACCUUAGCAAUUGACGUUAGCGACAGAAGAAGCACCGGCUAACUCCGUGCCAGCAGCCGCGGUAAUACGGAGGGUGCGAGCGUUAAUCGGAAUUACUGGGCGUAAAGGGCACGCAGGCGGUUAAUUAAGUUGGAUGUGAAAUCCCCGGGCUUAACCUGGGAAUGGCAUUCAAGACUGGUUAGCUAGAGUCUUGUAGAGGGGGUAGAAUUCCAUGUGUAGCGGUGAAAUGCGUAGAGAUGUGGAGGAAUACCGGUGGCGAAGGCGGCCCCUGGACAAAGACUGACGCUCAUGUGCGAAAGCUGGGGAGCAAACAGGAUUAGAUACC
rnacentral:rRNA from 1 species